UGGGGGAACCCUGAUGCAGCCAUGCCGCGUGUGUGAAGAAGGCCUUCGGGUUGUAAAGCACUUUCAGCAGUGAGGAAGAGGUGGUGUUUAAUAGAUGCCAUCUUUGACGUUAGCUGCAGAAGAAGCACCGGCUAACUCCGUGCCAGCAGCCGCGGUAAUACGGAGGGUGCGAGCGUUAAUCGGAAUUACUGGGCGUAAAGCGCAUGCAGGCGGCGUGUUAAGCCAGAUGUGAAAGCCCGGGGCUCAACCUCGGAAUCGCAUUUGGAACUGGCAUGCUAGAGUCUUGUAGAGGGGGGUAGAAUUUCAGGUGUAGCGGUGAAAUGCGUAGAGAUCUGAAGGAAUACCGGUGGCGAAGGCGGCCCCCUGGACAAAGACUGACGCUCAGAUGCGAAAGCGUGGGGAGCAAACAGGAUUAGAUACCCUGGUAGUCCACGCCGUAAACGAUGUCUACUUGGAGGUUGGUGUCUUGAACACUGGCUUUCGGAGCUAACGCGUUAAGUAGACCGCCUGGGGAGUACGGUCGCAAGAUUAAAACUCAAAUGAAUUGACGGGGGCCCGCACAAGCGGUGGAGCAUGUGGUUUAAUUCGAUGCAACGCGAAGAACCUUACCUACUCUUGACAUCCAGAGAACUUUCCAGAGAUGGAUUGGUGCCUUCGGGAACUCUGAGACAGGUGCUGCAUGGCUGUCGUCAGCUCGUGUUGUGAAAUGUUGGGUUAAGUCCCGCAACGAGCGCAACCCUUAUCCUUGUUUGCCAGCACUUCGGGUGGGAACUCCAGGGAGACUGCCGGUGAUAAACCGGGAGGAAGGUGGGGACGACGUCAAGUCAUCAUGGCCCUUACGAGUAGGGCUACACACGUGCUACAAUGGCGUAUACAGAGGGCUGCGAGCCUAGCGAUAGUGAGCGAAUCCCACAAAGUUCGUUCGUAUUCCGGAUUGAUCUGCAACUCGACUUCUUGAAGUCGGAAUCGCUAGUAUCGUGGAUCAAUGCCACGGGUGAAUACGUUCCCGGCCUGGUACACACGGCCGUCACACAUGGGAAUUGGCUGCACAAAGCUAAUAGCUAACUUCGGGAGGGCUUUCUCCGGUGGGUCAUGGACUGGGGGGAA
rnacentral:rRNA from 1 species